CCGCCAGAGAACUACUAGCAACAGCUUAAAACUCAAAGGACUUGGCGGUGCUUUACAUCCCUCUAGAGGAGCCUGUUCUAUAAUCGAUAAACCCCGAUACACCUCACCACCCCUUGCUAAUCCAGCCUAUAUACCGCCAUCCUCAGCAAACCCUAAAAAGGAAGAACAGUAAGCACAAGUAUCCUGACAUAAAAAAGCUAGGUCAAGGUGUAGCCCAUGGGGUGGGAAGCAAUGGGCUACAUUUUCUGCACCAGAACACUUCCAUACGAAAAUUCUUAUGAAAUUAAGGAUUAAAGGAGGAUUUAGUAGUAAAUUAAGAACAGAGAGCUUAAUUGAAUCGGGCCAUAAAGCACGCACACACCGCCCGUCACCCUC
rnacentral:rRNA from 1 species